GCCAUCUUGAAGUUCUGCAAGUAUCAUCAUAUUCACGAUAGUAGAGUUCGAAAGAACACGAGGGAAUCAAACAAAGUAUAUAUAAAACAAGUUAGAAUGUUUAUGGUAAAAUCCUCUUCGUACAGUUUCCAAAGUUGACACACCCUCACGCUGUGUACAAAGCCAAUGCAUAUGCAUCAUAAAACAGAAAUCAUAAUGAGCCAAAAAUAAAAAAGAGAAAGUUAUAUAUAGCUAGCCAAAAUCUUCAAAUUUAAACCUGAAGAAUCUGGCUUCUAUUGAUUUUUAGCUAAAGAAACGUUAUUCUUUUCCAUGUUCCCCUUUGCGCUAAUCAGUAAUAUUGAGUGUGUGUAUGUAAAUAUAGUAAUUUAUUUCACCAUUCCACCGUAGUUGGAACCUGUGUGUCUUGCUUUACUACCACAUCAUGCAGGCUUUUGUCCUUCAUAUCAUCCCUUGAUUUUUAGGUGCUUCUUUUACUUUUCAAGGGAUAAAAGAAGACCCAUCAUGGACUGCAAAAUGUGGGAGCAAUUGAGGAGGGUUUGUUCUGGAUUGGCUCCCCUGAUCAAAGGAUAUAAAAGGACUAUAGUACUCAACAAGGGUGGAAUUCUUAAGGCUAUUAGCACCUUUAUGGCCACUUUGUCUCUCCAAUUUUAAAGGGAGAGAGUCUUUCAUGGAUGAACCACAUUGUCUAGGCUGUGUUUGGUAGAAAACUUUUGAAACAACGGGCUCUCCAUCUUUCUCUUCCUCGUUAUUACCAAGAUGGUAUUGGUGCAUUACCCAAUUGGUCUUCUCAGGCUUUCUUUGCUUACCAUAGUUUGUGUAAAGCACUAGAAUUUUCUUGUACCCUUUUACCUUUCCACUAACAAAAACUGGUCUAGUCUUGCCUGUUUUGUGCCACCGUGUCUCGCCACCUUCUGCGUCUGUGUGUACCUUUCUUCUUUUUCUUGUUCCUGUUGUGUAUGCUUUUGAAGGUCGAUGAAAGAAAUGGCGAACUAGGCCAUCCUUGCUAACUCCUGGACAUAGUAACAAAAGGGCAACAAAAUGAUUUCUAUUAUUAGAAAACUAAUGCUUCUAUAUUGUAGGGUUAGUUGGAGGCUAGGCAUGAAGAUUUUCUACUUUCUUCUAGUCUAAUGGCAAACGAUAUAUAUGUAUACCAAAGUUAGUUGCUGGGUUUUCAUCAAGUGAUAUAAGAUAGGUUAGCUACCAUUAUGGUUGGAGUCUGAAGAGUUUCUCAUUCAUUUUCGUCUUCAGGGACAAAGCAAACUGGUCAAUUGGAAAACUGUACGCUCCACUUUCAUGCAUAGACAUAGCUAUAGAAUAACCUUGUUUUCCAAACAUCAGAAGAUCUAUAUCUAUAUGAUUAACCAUGAUCAUGAAAUGUGAUGAGGAUUUCCAGAUCUUUAUAAUACUGUAAGGAACUAGAAAUGAUCGGAUCCCUGGAAUAAUUUUCACCUGGCAACUUUUCUGGGUGAGUAUAGCAAAUUCCAUUCUCUCCUUCAAUUGUGGGGAUAAACUCAUCGAUAAGAGGAUGAAUCUUACGAGCAUCAGACUUGACCUUUCCCUCCAAAUGCUCAAGCAGCUCUUGAUCAGUCGGAUCAAACUUCACUCCAGCUGGCAGCCCAGGCAAAUCAUGGAUUCUCGCCUGAUCUUGGCACUUGAUCUGGUGACCACAAGAAGGGCAGCUUCUAAGUAGGCUUUCUUUGUGUCUUUGAGCAAUAUUAACACUGCUUGAAUUGGAAGGAACUGGAGAGGUUCUUUCAAUGGUUUGAACAUCGUUACUGUCAUUGCACCAAGUCAUUUCCUCCGUUUCCUCUUAUGCCCAUCCCACAGUGAAUCCUUUCUUUCUUGCUUUCUCCUCUACUGCUACUCCAAAAACCAAAAACUAUGGGAGAGAGAGACAGAGAGAUCGCAGA
rnacentral:misc_RNA from 1 species